rnacentral:rRNA from 1 species
UACGUAGGGGGCAAGCGUUGUCCGGAAUCAUUGGGCGUAAAGAGCGUGUAGGCGGCUUGGUAAGUCCGCUGUGAAAGUCCAGGGCUCAACCCUGGAAUGCCGGUGGAUACUGGCAAGCUGGAGUAUGGUAGAGGAAGGUGGAAUUCCCGGUGUAGCAGUGAAAUGCGUAGAGAUCGGGAGGAACACCAGUGGCGAAGGCGGCCUUCUGGACCAAUACCGACGCUCAUGCACGAAAGCGUGGGGAGCAAACAGG